UUGAACUAGAGAGAAUAAAACACACUUUUGCUUGUAACUAGUGUUAGGAGUGAGAUUAGAUUAGGGGAGUGGUACUGUAAUAAAGGGGAUGAUUUAAGGAUCGUUUCUAUCAAAUUUCAUGAAUAAACAAGGAUUAGGGACAAAGUUAUAAGCAUUCAAAGGUGUUGAACCAUUGAACUAGAGAGAAUAAAACACACUUUUGCUUGUAACUAGUGUUAGGAGUGAGAUUAGAUUAGGAGAGUUGUACUGUAAUAAAGGGGAUGAUUUAAGGAUCGUUUCUACCAAAUUUCAUGAAUAAACAAGGAUUAGGGACAAAGUUAUAAGCAUUCAAAGGUGUUGAACCAUUGAACUAGAGAGAAUAAAACACACUUUUGCUUGUAACUAGUGUUAGGAGUGAGAUUAGAUUAGGAGAGUUGUACUGUAAUAAAGGGGAUGAUUUAAGGAUCGUUUCUACCAAAUUUCAUGAAUAAACAAGGAUUAGGGACAAAGUUAUAAGCAUUCAAAGGUGUUGAACCAUUGAACUAGAGAGAAUAAAACACACUUUUGCUUGUAACUAGUGUUAGGAGUAAGAUUAGAUUAGGAGAGUUGUACUGUAAUAAAGGGGAUGAUUUAAGGAUCGUUUAUUCCAAAUUUCAUGAAUAAACAUG
rnacentral:lncRNA from 1 species